GACGAACGCUGGCGGCGUGCUUAACACAUGCAAGUCGAACGAGUGGCGCACGGGUGAGUAAUGUCUGGGACACUGCCUGAUGGAGGGGGAUAACUACUGGACACGGUAGCUAAUACCGCAUACCAUCAGAUGUGCCCAGAUGGGUUUAGCUAGUAGGUGGGGUAACGGCUCACCUAGGCGACGAUCCCUAGCUGGUCUGAGAGGAUGACCAGCAACACUGGAACGGAGACACGGUCCAGACUACUACGGGAGGCGGCAGUGGGGAAUAUUGCACAAGGGGCGCAAGCCUGAUGCAGCCAUGCCGCGUGUAUGAAGAGGGCCUUCGGGUUGUAAAGCACUUUCAGCGGGGAGGCGUUACCCGCAGAAGAAGCACCGGCUAACUCCGUGCCAGCAGCCGCGGUAAUUC
rnacentral:rRNA from 1 species